rnacentral:rRNA from 1 species
GGGUUGUGAGGUUAAGCGACUAAGCGUACACGGUGGAUGCCCUGGCAGUCAGAGGCGAUGAAGGACGUGCUAAUCUGCGAUAAGCGUCGGUAAGGUGAUAUGAACCGUUAUAACCGGCGAUUUCCGAAUGGGGAAACCCAGUGUGAUUCGUCACACUAUCAUUAACUGAAUCCAUAGGUUAAUGAGGCGAACCGGGGGAACUGAAACAUCUAAGUACCCCGAGGAAAAGAAAUCAACCGAGAUUCCCCCAGUAGCGGCGAGCGAACGGGGAGCAGCCCAGAGCCUGAAUCAGUGUGUGUGUUAGUGGAAGCGUCUGGAAAGGCGUGCGAUACAGGGUGACAGCCCCGUACACAAAAAUGCACAUGCUGUGAGCUCGAUGAGUAGGGCGGGACACGUGGUAUCCUGUCUGAAUAUGGGGGGACCAUCCUCCAAGGCUAAAUACUCCUGACUGACCGAUAGUGAACCAGUACCGUGAGGGAAAGGCGAAAAGAACCCCGGCGAGGGGAGUGAAAAAGAACCUGAAACCGUGUACGUACAAGCAGUGGGAGCACAGAGCAAUCUGUGUGACUGCGUACCUUUUGUAUAAUGGGUCAGCGACUUAUAUUCUGUAGCAAGGUUAACCGAAUAGGGGAGCCGAAGGGAAACCGAGUCUUAACUGGGCGUUAAGUUGCAGGGUAUAGACCCGAAACCCGGUGAUCUAGCCAUGGGCAGGUUGAAGGUUGGGUAACACUAACUGGAGGACCGAACCGACUAAUGUUGAAAAAUUAGCGGAUGACUUGUGGCUGGGGGUGAAAGGCCAAUCAAACCGGGAGAUAGCUGGUUCUCCCCGAAAGCUAUUUAGGUAGCGCCUCGUGAAUUCAUCUCCGGGGGUAGAGCACUGUUUCGGCAAGGGGGUCAUCCCGACUUACCAACCCGAUGCAAACUGCGAAUACCGGAGAAUGUUAUCACGGGAGACACACGGCGGGUGCUAACGUCCGUCGUGAAGAGGGAAACAACCCAGACCGCCAGCUAAGGUCCCAAAGUCAUGGUUAAGUGGGAAACGAUGUGGGAAGGCCCAGACAGCCAGGAUGUUGGCUUAGAAGCAGCCAUCAUUUAAAGAAAGCGUAAUAGCUCACUGGUCGAGUCGGCCUGCGCGGAAGAUGUAACGGGGCUAAACCAUGCACCGAAGCUGCGGCAGCGACGCUUAUGCGUUGUUGGGUAGGGGAGCGUUCUGUAAGCCUGCGAAGGUGUGCUGUGAGGCAUGCUGGAGGUAUCAGAAGUGCGAAUGCUGACAUAAGUAACGAUAAAGCGGGUGAAAAGCCCGCUCGCCGGAAGACCAAGGGUUCCUGUCCAACGUUAAUCGGGGCAGGGUGAGUCGACCCCUAAGGCGAGGCCGAAAGGCGUAGUCGAUGGGAAACAGGUUAAUAUUCCUGUACUUGGUGUUACUGCGAAGGGGGGACGGAGAAGGCUAUGUUGGCCGGGCGACGGUUGUCCCGGUUUAAGCGUGUAGGCUGGUUUUCCAGGCAAAUCCGGAAAAUCAAGGCUGAGGCGUGAUGACGAGGCACUACGGUGCUGAAGCAACAAAUGCCCUGCUUCCAGGAAAAGCCUCUAAGCAUCAGGUAACAUCAAAUCGUACCCCAAACCGACACAGGUGGUCAGGUAGAGAAUACCAAGGCGCUUGAGAGAACUCGGGUGAAGGAACUAGGCAAAAUGGUGCCGUAACUUCGGGAGAAGGCACGCUGAUAUGUAGGUGAAGUCCCUCGCGGAUGGAGCUGAAAUCAGUCGAAGAUACCAGCUGGCUGCAACUGUUUAUUAAAAACACAGCACUGUGCAAACACGAAAGUGGACGUAUACGGUGUGACGCCUGCCCGGUGCCGGAAGGUUAAUUGAUGGGGUCAGCGCAAGCGAAGCUCUUGAUCGAAGCCCCGGUAAACGGCGGCCGUAACUAUAACGGUCCUAAGGUAGCGAAAUUCCUUGUCGGGUAAGUUCCGACCUGCACGAAUGGCGUAAUGAUGGCCAGGCUGUCUCCACCCGAGACUCAGUGAAAUUGAACUCGCUGUGAAGAUGCAGUGUACCCGCGGCAAGACGGAAAGACCCCGUGAACCUUUACUAUAGCUUGACACUGAACAUUGAGCCUUGAUGUGUAGGAUAGGUGGGAGGCUUUGAAGUGUGGACGCCAGUCUGCAUGGAGCCGACCUUGAAAUACCACCCUUUAAUGUUUGAUGUUCUAACGUUGACCCGUAAUCCGGGUUGCGGACAGUGUCUGGUGGGUAGUUUGACUGGGGCGGUCUCCUCCUAAAGAGUAACGGAGGAGCACGAAGGUUGGCUAAUCCUGGUCGGACAUCAGGAGGUUAGUGCAAUGGCAUAAGCCAGCUUGACUGCGAGCGUGACGGCGCGAGCAGGUGCGAAAGCAGGUCAUAGUGAUCCGGUGGUUCUGAAUGGAAGGGCCAUCGCUCAACGGAUAAAAGGUACUCCGGGGAUAACAGGCUGAUACCGCCCAAGAGUUCAUAUCGACGGCGGUGUUUGGCACCUCGAUGUCGGCUCAUCACAUCCUGGGGCUGAAGUAGGUCCCAAGGGUAUGGCUGUUCGCCAUUUAAAGUGGUACGCGAGCUGGGUUUAGAACGUCGUGAGACAGUUCGGUCCCUAUCUGCCGUGGGCGCUGGAGAACUGAGGGGGGCUGCUCCUAGUACGAGAGGACCGGAGUGGACGCAUCACUGGUGUUCGGGUUGUCAUGCCAAUGGCACUGCCCGGUAGCUAAAUGCGGAAGAGAUAAGUGCUGAAAGCAUCUAAGCACGAAACUUGCCCCGAGAUGAGUUCUCCCUGACUCCUUGAGAGUCCUGAAGGAACGUUGAAGACGACGACGUUGAUAGGCCGGGUGUGUAAGCGCAGCGAUGCGUUGAGCUAACCGGUACUAAUGAACCGUGAGGCUUAACCUUACAACGCCGAAG